rnacentral:misc_RNA from 1 species
GAUGAAGAACGUAGCGAAAUGCGAUACUUGGUGUGAAUUGCAGAAUCCCGUGAACCAUCGAGUCUUUGAACGCAAGUUGCGCCCGAAGCCAUUAGGCCGAGGGCACACCUGCCUGGGCGUCACACGUCGUUGCCCCCCCAUCUACUCCUUCGGGAUUGCGGGGGGCGGAUGAUGGCCUCCCGUGCGCCUCGUCGCGCGGUUGGCAUAAAUGCCAAGUCCUCGGCGACGCACGCCACGACAAUCGGUGGUUGCGAAACCUCGGUUGCCCGUCGUGUGCGUUCGUCGCGCAUCGAGGGCUCGAAAAAAUGCUCGGCUCCGGCUGGGCUUUCAACGCGACCCCAGGUCAGGCGGGGUUACCCGCUGAAUUUAAGCAUAUCAAUAAGCGGAGGA